GUCCGGUCCGGAGGUAGUGAGUUACAUCAAUUGAUUGUUCACAGUCGGUUACAGAUUGAACUCCUUGCUCUAUUCUUUUCCCCACUUCUCACUGCUGCACUUGACCAGUCUUAA
rnacentral:Y_RNA from 1 species